rnacentral:piRNA from 1 species
UGAAAUUUGCGGCCUUGUUGG